UGGAGGCACGGAGCGACGAGCCGCGGCCGAGUAAAGCGAGGAUCUGGAGCUCAGUGUGUCGCCAAACGUUGUGAGAGACGCAGGCCCGCCGCCCGCCAUCCUGCCCUGUCCUGCGUCGGGGAGGCGAAGGAACGCGGGACUUGCUGGCUCCGUCGUGUGGUCAGAGGAGCGGCCUCAGAGCGCGUGUUACCUGGCCGGCGCGCACACAGGUACAGGGGCCUUUCCCGAAGCCAUGCGCUGUUCAUGAGGAUGUUACUGUGAUUAUGAUGAUGCGUAUGAUGAUGAUGAUGAUGGUUAAGUUACGCUGUUGUUGUUGAUGAUGUUGAUGAUAGUUUGUCGGAAGCGCUAAGUUGACGGAUGGACGGAUGUUCAAAACGAAACAAAGAAAGAGAAAUCAGAGAAGCGAGCACUGGAAAGUAAUAACGAACCCAAGUCCAAUGUUUCGCUUUUAUUGUUUGAUGCGAAAGUUUUGCUACUUCCCGUGAUACAUCGAGCCCGGCAACUCUGGUUCUGUGAUGUGGAAAAUGUGUUAAAGAGACGAAACCAUAACUGGAAACUCGCUCGGGUGAUGAAAAAAGGUAAAAUAUUUCUUGCUUCAAACUGUUUGACUCUCGCUUGAUUUUUGGUGGCCAAUAGAUAAACAGCAAGGCAAGGAUAACGAGUUGUGGUGAAAAAGUAUGAAUAUUUAGAAACAGUUUUAGUUAAGGCCCGAAACCAUCACCACCACCACCACCACCACCACCACCCUUAGUGCUGCUGCUGCCGCUGCUUAUUAGGAAGUCAAGAGGAAAGAGGAGAGAGCUGUCAAGAGGACUGCAGUGUGCUAAGAGUCCUUCAGCUACGGUGACGCGGAGUAAUCAAGGGAAGCGCACGUGGGAGGCGGCCUCAGACGCGAGGGAAGGGAAGGAAGGCCACUCGCUCUUUCCCAACCUGAGGAGCUGCUGCGGAAGAAGGAAGAAAGGAAGAAAGGGGAAGAAGGAAGAACGUGCUCCCCUCCCUUGCUCUCCUCUCAUUUCUAUCCUUGUCUUUCCUUUCCUAUUUGCUUUACUCCUUCUCUUCCUCUUCAUCCUUUCAGCUGCAAGAAGAGUAGAUUCCAAGAGAAGGCAUUUUACUCAUUGUCACUCUCUUCGUUUCCCUUUCUCUUCCUCCCCCUCCUCCCUCUGCACUUCAUUUUUCUCCUCCUCCUCCUCCUCCUCCUCCUCCUCUAUCACUGCCUGCUCCUACUCCUCCUACUCCUCCCUCCUCCUCCUCCUCCUCCUCUCCCUUCCUCGCUGUUUGCUUCCACUCCUCGUCCACUUCCUCCACUUCAUUCCCCCUUCAACGCGUGUCGUCUACAGGAUCGGCUCGGCUCCUUCGCCCUCUUACAUCGAUUCAGCGGGAAGGAAUGGUGGCGCGGAGAUCCGGAAUUCCAAUCA